rnacentral:rRNA from 1 species
AACGAACGCUGGCGGCAUGCCUAACACAUGCAAGUCGAACGAGAUCUUCGGGUCUAGUGGCGCACGGGUGCGUAACGCGUGGGAAUCUGCCCUUUGGUUCGGAAUAACAGUUGGAAACGACUGCUAAUACCGGAUGAUGACUAAAGUCCAAAGAUUUAUCGCCAGAGGAUGAGCCCGCGUAGGAUUAGCUAGUUGGGGUGGUAAAGGCGCACCAAGGCGACGAUCCUUAGCUGGUCUGAGAGGAUGAUCAGCCACACUGGGACUGAGACACGGCCCAGACUCCUACGGGAGGCAGCAGUGGGGAAUAUUGGACAAUGGGCGAAAGCCUGAUCCAGCAAUGCCGCGUGAGUGAUGAAGGCCUUAGGGUUGUAAAGCUCUUUUACCCGGGAUGAUAAUGACAGUACCGGGAGAAUAAGCUCCGGCUAACUCCGUGCCAGCCGCCGCGGUAA